GACGAAGGAUGCAAGCGUUAUCCGGAUUCAUUGGGUUUAAAGGGAGCGUAGGUGGCCUUAUAAGUCAGUGGUGAAAUCUCUGGGCUUAACCCAGAGAUUGCCAUUGAUACUGUAGGGCUUGAGUAUAGUUGCCGUUGGCGGAAUAUGACAUGUAGUGGUGAAAUACAUAGAGAUGUCAUAGAACACCGAUUGCGAAGGCAGCUAACGAAACUAUAACUGACACUGAGGCUCGAAAAGUGCGGGGAUCAAACAGG
rnacentral:rRNA from 1 species